rnacentral:pre_miRNA from 1 species
GAAAACUUGAAAACUACCAUUGGAUCGCAGAAAUGGACGUCUGAGAUUCAUCCAUGUCACCAUGAGUUAAAACUUAACUCGCAGACUCACUCAUGAGUUAAAAUUUUACUGGGAGUUAAAUUUUAACUCAGGGUGAUGUGGACGAAUCUCGGACGUCCAUUUCUCGAUCCAACGGUAGUUUCCAAGUUUCC